rnacentral:piRNA from 1 species
UAUAAAGUUAUAGGUGAGAAAAAAAUAAAU